UACGUAGGGUGCGAGCGUUAUUCGGAAUUACUGGGCGUAAAGCGUGCGCAGGCGGUUCUCCAAGUCCGGUGUGAAAGCCCCGGGCUCAACCUGGGAAUGGCAGUGGAAACUAGGGGACUGGAAUCUGGCAGAGGGGGGUGGAAUGCCGCGUGUAGCAGUGAAAUGCGUAGAGAUGCGGCGGAACACCGAUGGCGAAGGCAGCCCCCUGGGCUGAGAUUGACGCUCAGGCACGAAAGCGUGGGGAGCAAACAGG
rnacentral:rRNA from 1 species